rnacentral:misc_RNA from 1 species
UUUUUUUUUAAAAAAAAAAAAGGAUGCAGAUAAAAGAAAACAAUUUUCACUCAUAUAUCAAAAGAAGUACACAAAAUUGGAUCUAAUGACAUAUGCCGCCUCUAAAUCCAGAACAUGAAAAUUUAAAAUAAAUAUUUCAGUUUCCUUUUCUUUCCUCAAAUUUUCUCAGCAACCAAACAAACUAGAUAUGUACAAUAACAGAACUUCCUCAAAUAAAUUUAAAAAAUAAAUAAAUAAAUAAUAUUUCUAAUACACUAUAAUCCGAAAUGAGAAAAUGAUACCUUCUUGAGAGAUUCUCGAGAGAGGACAUAUGCAACAUAACUCCAUUAUCUGAGCACGAAGCAGAUUAGAAAGGGAAGAAUAACAAUCUGCUUCAAAAAAAAAAAAAAAAACUUGAAAGGUCUAUUAGAUUAAAUAUAUCUUGUUCUAGUGAGAGGUUCCUAACUUAUGGUUAGAAAGUGUUAAAAAGUGCAUGCAAUAAAAAAGCAACUUUAGAUCUUAUAGAACUUUUAGGGACCACCUUUGGUAAUUUUUCAAACUGGAAGGGUGGUUUGUGCAGUUUAAGGAUUCUGUAGGGGGUGUUUUGUGUGUAAUUUACACAACAUUUUAAGCUUUUUUUUUAUUAGAAAUUUUAAGCUAUUACUGAUACUUUUAUAUUCAAAAUAGGCUGUUGUUAUCAAAUGCAAGUUGUAAGUUUUCAACUUGAAACUAUAAUGGGCAAUUGGUCAUUGAUGUUUAAUGAGGUUCCUCAGACUUGUUGGCACAUAUUCAAUACCUGAUGCUCACCAGUUCUCUGUAAGAUUAUCUUGUUGUUCAUUCUUUGAACUUUCAACAUGACUUAUGUGCUGGCUUUAAUAUGCUGCUUUUUCCAUGCCUGGAAUUGUGGCUUAUGUCAUUGGAAGAGUAAAUAUUGAUUGUUCUGGCAUAACCUUCAUCCUUUGUUGUGAUGCAGAGACAUAACAGUGGUCAAAUCAGUGACAGAGGAGUUGGUAAUGCAAUCCUGAAAAUUAUAUUUCAGGAGAGGUUGACAUAUUUACACUGGAAUAAAGGACAAGAAAUGGGUCCAACAAUAGGAGAUCAAGGGGGAACUCUUCUUGUUCGGAAAUUAGUAGAUCCAUUGGCUGCUUUUGUUGGAGAUGUAGUGGUUUUGAAGGAUCCUAAGAAUUCAGAAAGCUAUCUGGUCAGAAGGUUAGCUGCAAGUGAAGGGCAUGAAAUGGUGUCUAAUGAUGGAAAGGAUGAACCUUUUGUUCUUGAGAAGGAUCAGUGUUGGGUUUUGGCUGACAAUGAGAAGUUGAAGCCCACGGUAUGUGCCAUUUUUCAAAUAUGAGGUUUGAUCAGUAUAUGCAUAUUCAUCUGACUUAAAUUAACUGCAGUUCCUAAUGUAUUUUUAUGAAAGUUCACUAUGAUGAGACUAGCAAAAGUUGACCUUUGAUUGUCUAUAGUAUGUAAUCAUUUAAGGAAUUGAUUUUAAAGUUACCAAUUUUCAGUUUUAAUAUGUUCACCAUAUUAGACUCCCAACGUAACCGUUUGAUCUCAGUGUAGAAUAAGGAAGUCUCAAAGACUGAGUUUACUUGGUGAUGUAACUUGAGAUUGGCUUAAUAAAAAAUUAAGCGUUCAAGAAAAUCAUGUUAUUUUCACAAAUUAUAUGCAUUUGACCUUUCAAGGUGUCUAUCUUCUUCUUUUUUUCCUU